AGGACGAACGCUGGCGGCGUGCUUAACACAUGCAAGUCGAGCGGAAAGGCCCUUCGGGGUACUCGAGCGGCGAACGGGUGAGUAACACGUGAGUAAUCUGCCUUCAGCUCUGGGAUAGCUCCGGGAAAACCGGGAUUAAUACCGGAUAUGACCACUUCGGACAUCUGUUGUGGUGGAAAGUUUUUCGGCUGGAGAUGAGCUCGCGGCCUAUCAGCUUGUUGGUGGGGUAAAGGCCUACCAAGGCGACGACGGGUAGCCGGCCUGAGAGGGCGACCGGCCACACUGGGACUGAGACACGGCCCAGACUCCUACGGGAGGCAGCAGUGGGGAAUAUUGCGCAAUGGGCGGAAGCCUGACGCAGCGACGCCGCGUGGGGGAUGAAGGCCUUCGGUUGUAAACCCCUUUCAGCAGGGACGAAGCGCAAGUGACGGUACCUGCAGAAGAAGCGCCGGCUAACUACGCGCCAGCAGCCGC
rnacentral:rRNA from 1 species